AGCAUGCGAGGCCACGCCCCUCUCCCCUCCUGUAGAGCGCUGCGUCACCGCCAGCUGCUCCUGAAGGCCGCGGGAUGGGUGGACAGAGCGUGCGUGUGGGCGGUGGAGGAGCAGUGCCUGCCGCGGCGAGGGCGCGCAUGCGCAGAAGGGAGAGAUCCCCCACCUCUCCCCCCUUGUCUCAGGCGACCGUUAGCGGCUGAGGAGACGGUGUAGCUGUGAGCUGCUCUCGCUAGCCCUGAUCUCGCUGGGCCCAGGCCCGCCUCUGGGGAGCUGCGUCACAGCGGUGGCUGCUGUGGGGCAAGGUCCCGCCGCUGGCAGACAGUGCAGCCGCUGUGUGCUCCAUAUAACAUGAGGAGCCAGGAGGGACCUCAGCAGCCCUUAGCGGUCUGACCGGGCAGGGCCUGCCUCCUAUUCCAGUGGCACGGAUUUGUGCUGGGAUUUAAGCUUCUGAAUGCGCAGAGAUGUACAUUUUGCCAAGUUCAUCCCUAAGAGCACAAGCAGAGUGUGAGGAGCUUCUGCAGAACAAGCAAGCUCAGAGAAGUGACAGCGCUACAGCCACAGGCCUCUUUCUGUCAGCAGCUGCUGCCUCCCGCUGCAGAAGGCCGGCUGAAGCAAACCUGAGUGCUGCGAGCAGCGAGAGGAAUGGGCACACAGCCUCCCUCUACAAGAGCCCCAUCUGCACCCUGUAGCACCAGGGCUGAAGAGAGGCUCCCCCCCAAAAUGCCGGUGCAUGUGGAAAGGCACUUGGUUAAUGUAGGAUACUGGAGCAGUGUGGAUUAACGUGUCAUUGCAAAGGGGUUUCAGCUGAUAAACCCAGCUGCAAAAGUAUGCAGAACAGGUCAUGCUCCAUUGCCUGGUGUGCUCCAGGGCUGCCACGUGCCUUUCACAGGCUCCUUCUGCCUUGCCAGGCUCAGCUGGCAGAAGAAAUAAUCGUGAGAGUGGAAGAGGGUUGGCACUUCACACGGGACAA